UGGGGAAUAUUGCACAAUGGGGGAAACCCUGAUGCAGCAACGCCGCGUGCGGGAUGACGGCCUUCGGGUUGUAAACCGCUUUCAGCCAUGACGAAGCUUUUGUGACGGUAGUGGCAGAAGAAGCACCGGCUAACUACGUGCCAGCAGCCGCGGUGAUACGUAGGGUGCGAGCGUUGUCCGGAAUUAUUGGGCGUAAAGAGCUUGUAGGCGGUUUGUCGCGUCGAAAGUGUAAACUCAGUGCUUAGCGCUGAGCCUGCUUUCGAUACGGGCUGACUAGAGGAAGGUAGGGGAGAAUGGAAUUCCCGGUGGAGCGGUGGAAUGCGCAGAUAUCGGGAGGAACACCAGUGGCGAAGGCGGUUCUCUGGACCUUUCCUGACGCUGAGAAGCGAAAGCGUGGGUAGCAAACAGG
rnacentral:rRNA from 1 species